GCCUGUAAAGCUAAAUAUUAGCGUCGGUCUUGUAAACCGAAGGUUGAGAUUCUAUCUCUACAAGCU
rnacentral:tRNA from 1 species